rnacentral:tRNA from 1 species
AGGGACUUAGGAUAACAUUCAGACCAAAAGCCUUCAAAGCUUUAUGUAGAAGUGAGAAUCUUCUAGCCCCUG